GCUCGUAUGGCGGAAUUGGUAGACGCGGCAGACUCAAAAUCUGCUGGUAGUGAUAUCGUAUGGGUUCAAGUCCCUUUACGAGCACCA
rnacentral:tRNA from 1 species